CCCCCCCUCCCGCGGGCUCAAUGGUAGCGCCCGAGCGGCCGCUUUCCAUCGAAAAAUGGAAUUAUUUCCAUUGAAAUGUGGAGUUGUCUCCAUCGGAAAAAGGAAUACGCAGGGGCUUUUAUCUCAUUCGGAAAGACAGGGAGGAACUGGAGGGGAAGAACUUCCCUCCAUGGAGGUGGAACAGCUGCCCAGGGAGGCUCUGGAUUCUCCAGAAGUCUCUGGAGCCACCCCAGCCCCAGCUGGAUGUGUCCCUGUCACUGCUCCAGGGUUUCUCUUUCACCCUUCUGGAGCAGGAAGUGUUCCUGUGAAGCCCUGGAGAGCUCCCAGCUCUCCUGCUGCCCUCAUUCCAGGAUUUGGGAAGUCCCAUGUGGAACAUCCCCUUCACGUCUGAAGGCUUCACAGAAUCAUCAAAACAUAUAUAUAUACAUAUAUAUACAUAUAUAUAUA